rnacentral:rRNA from 1 species
AACGAACGCUGGCGGCAUGCCUAACACAUGCAAGUCGAACGAGACCUUCGGGUCUAGUGGCGCACGGGUGCGUAACGCGUGGGAACCUGCCCUUAGGUUCGGAAUAACUCCCCGAAAGGGGUGCUAAUACCGGAUAAUGUCUUCGGACCAAAGAUUUAUCGCCUUUGGAUGGGCCCGCGUUGGAUUAGCUAGUUGGUAGGGUAAAAGCCUACCACGGCGACGAUCCAUAGCUGGUCUGAGAGGAUGAUCAGCCACACUGGGACUGAGACACGGCCCAGACUCCUACGGGAGGCAGCAGUGGGGAAUAUUGGACAAUGGGCGAAAGCCUGAUCCAGCAAUGCCGCGUGAGUGAUGAAGGCCUUAGGGUUGUAAAGCUCUUUUACCCGGGAUGAUAAUGACAGUACCGGGAGAAUAAGCUCCGGCUAACUCCGUG